rnacentral:rRNA from 1 species
UACGUAGGCAGCGAGCGUUGUUCGGAAUUACUGGGCGUAAAGAGUGUGUAGGCGGUGUUCCCAGUCUGUUGUGAAAUCUCCCGGCUUAACUGGGAGGGUGCAGCGGAAACUAGAAUGCUAGAGGGUGGGAGAGGUAAGCGGAAUUCCUGGUGUAGCGGUGAAAUGCGUAGAUAUCAGGAGGAACACCGGUGGCGAAGGCGGGUCUCUGGGCCGAUAUUGACGCUGAGGAGCGAAAGCGUGGGGAGCGAACAGG